AAAUAAAUUAAUAAAAUUUAUGUCAGAUUUAUAUUUCUGGUAAAGCGGGAAAAAAUGCGUUGUUAGAAUGUUUAAUGGAGCGAUUUAAUGUUAGUGGUCGUAUUGAAUAUGAAAAACGGAAGGUCGUAAACCGGAAUGCUAACAAUGAGAAAAAAAAUUGCAAAUUUUUCUUCAAGUUCAAGAUAAUUCCCCAGACCGUGAUUUUGAACAAAGGGAACAUUUCUGCAGUAUUAUAAAUGAAGCAAUAGAGGCCAAUCCAAAUUUUUUGUUAAAAAUGAUGUUUUCCGAUGAAACUGCUUUUCGCAGUAAUGGUGCAGAUAAUCGUCAUAACAUGCUUUAUAAUUCAACAGUUAAUCCAU